CUCGUUUUUCCUGCUUUCAUUUGUACAUCUGAUAAUAUAUUCUGAAGCAAGAGCUGAAUUCCAGAAAGGUGAAGGAAUAGUAUGGCAAGGUUAGGCCUGUGUGAUCUGUGAUCCAAAAAUGUCAGCCCACCGUGCCACAGACAGGGAGUGGAGGCACAUGUCUUCACUGAAAGGAAGUUCUGUUUUAGCUAAAAUGAAGCACCUGUUCACAUUGGAAUCCUAUGCGAACUUCUGCGCACAGUGCUUGCUUAUCUGAUUAUGUGCUUGCUUAGAAAUUCCAGAGACCAAUUUUGAAACGAAACAGGUAAAGAAACCAAGUGGCAGAAUCCUCCCGCUUAGAAGGAGUACGAAUAGUUAGCUCACCACUCUCCGGCCCAAGUCAGGAUGACACCAACCCAACAGGCAAUUACUCAAGAUAAACAUCGGAACUAGACAUGCAGACCUGCGCCUUCCUGCACCACUACCAUAUAUUUCCCAUACCUUUUCCUGCCAAAACCCCUUCACUCAGCCCAAAAGGCAGAGAUGGCUUCUUUGAGGCAGAAGCCCGGCCAUCUCCCAUCUGCUAGCAUUUGAUCAAUAAAGUUGC
rnacentral:lncRNA from 1 species